rnacentral:rRNA from 1 species
UACGGGGGGAGCAAGCGUUGUUCGGAUUUACUGGGCGUAAAGGGCGCGUAGGCGGCGCAACAAGUCACUUGUGAAAUCUCCGGGCUUAACCCGGAGCGGUCAAGUGAUACUGUCGUGCUAGAGUGCGGAAGGGGCUACUGGAAUUCUCGGUGUAGCGGUGAAAUGCGUAGGAUAUCGAGAGGAACACCUGCGGCGAAGGCGGGUAGCUGGGCCGACACUGACGCUGAUGCGCGAAAGCCAGGGGAGCGAACGGG